UGACAAUUGGACCAUUGAAAUCUGGCAUCAACCAGUUUCAUCAGUCAUGUCCCAUUUUCAGUUCAUUUGAACGCACAUGAUCCCAAUCAUUAUCGCCCCUGUAAUGAUUUGAGGUUUCUCAAUACUGGAUUGUCUGAAGAGCCCCAACAAAGACCAAUGAAAACUGGAGGACAGACAAACACAAUUGGAAAGACGCAGUGAACAGUACGUUGGCUGUACGUCACGUUUUGGCUGACCUGAAGCAUUUCGAAAGCUGCUGCUGCAUAACUCCACGUAGGAAGAAUCCUUCUGUACAGCA